UAAGCCUCUGUAGGGGUAUUAUCCAACAUUUGUGCUAGUGAAAGAUAACACGAUAAAAUAUAUUAGACGAUUGUUUUCUAUCUAUCUAAACCUCUAUGGAUAGAGUUAUCCAACAUUUCAUUCAGUGAAAGGUAACGGGUACAUUCAACCUCCAACAAAUACAAAAGAUGUUAGACGAUUUCUGUUUCUAUCCAACAUUUGUGUCGGUGAAAUAUAGCGAGUACGCUCAAUCUGGUCCGGACACUACUACUAUUGAAAAAAGGGACUUAUAUUCAAUUAUUCCUUUGAUGAGAAAUCACCUGUUAUACCAACUGAAGUAUCAAAAAGCUGUGCCAACUGCAGAAACCAAAAAUGAGAAA